GACGGAAGGUGCAAGCGUUGCUCGGAAUCACUGGGCGUAAAGGGUGCGUAGGCGGCUUGGUAGGUCUGGUGUGAAAGCCCCGGGCUCAGCCCGGGAAGGGCACUAGAAACUGCCAAGCUAGAGUGCCGGAGGGGAGAGUGGAAUUCCUGGUGUAGCGGUGAAAUGCGCAGAUAUCAGGAAGAACACCGGUGGCGAAGGCGGCGUCCUGGACCAACACUGACACUGAUGAGCGAAAGCCAGGGGAGCGAACAGG
rnacentral:rRNA from 1 species